AGUGAACGCUGGCGGUAGGCCUAGCACAUGCAAGUCGAACGGCAGCACAGUAAGAACUUGCUCUUACGGGUGGCGAGUGGCGGACGGGUGAGGAAUACAUCGGCAUCUACUUUUUCGUGGGUGAUAACGUAGGGAAACUUACGCUAAUACCGCAUAUGACCUACGGGUGAAAUCAGUAGAUCUUCGCACCUUGCGCGUUUGUAUUAGCCGAUGUCGGAUUAGCUAGUUGGCGGGGUAAGGGCCCACCAAGGCGACGAUCCGUAGCUGGUCUGAGAGGAUGAUCAGCCACACUGGAACUGAGACACGGUCCAGACUCCUACGGGAGGCAGCAGUGGGGAAUAUUGGACAAUGGGCGCAAGCCUGAUCCAGCCAUACCGCGUGAGUGAAGAAGGCCUUCGGGUUGUAAAGCCCUUUUGUUGGGAAAGAAAAGCAGCAGGUUAAUACCCCGAUGUUCUGACGGUACCCAAAGAAUAAGCACCGGCUAACUUCGUG
rnacentral:rRNA from 1 species